GCUAGUCAUAACAAGCUUAAAACAAAGCUUAACACUUCUAUUAUUCGCCUUACUCUAAUACCAAGUAUUCGCUGUUCUAAUCUCUAUUUCCAUGAAACCCCGACACCGCCGCCGAGAUGUACUUGCUUUGGAAUGCCCAAACAAUGCAUUUUCUCUUUCUCUCUCUUGCACGAACUUUUCAUUUCUCUCUUCCGUGUUCUCUGGCGUCUCUUCCCAGACCCUAGACCGCUGCCGCCCCUUUUGUCCUUCAAUCACUCACUACGAGUUUGGUUCUUCAUAUUUUUUUCAAAUGACAUUGUCUGCAUAUUCAACCUUGGUGCUUGA